rnacentral:rRNA from 1 species
GUGGGGAAUAUUGGACAAUGGGGGCAACCCUGAUCCAGCAAUGCCGCGUGUGUGAAGAAGGCUUACGGGUUGUAAAGCACUUUCGGUGGGGAGGAAAGGCAUUGGGUUAAGAGCUAGAUGCUGUGACGUUACCCACAAAAGAAGCACCGGCUAACUCCGUGCCAGCAGCCGCGGUAAUACGGAGGGUGCAAGCGUUAAUCGGAAUUACUGGGCGUAAAGGGUGCGUAGGUUGUUUGAUAAGUUAAGUGUGAAAGUUCUGGGCUUAACCUGGGGAAGUCACUUAAGACUGUUAGACUAGAGUAUGGGAGAGGGUAGUGGAAUUUCCGGUGUAGCGGUGAAAUGCGUAGAGAUCGGAAGGAACACCAGUGGCGAAGGCGGCUACCUGGCCUGAUACUGACACUGAGGCACGAAAGCAUGGGUAGCAAACAGG